rnacentral:rRNA from 1 species
GAUGAACGCUGGCGGCGUGCUUAACACAUGCAAGUCGAACGGAACUACUCCAAUGAGAGUCUUCGGAAAGGAUUUGGUUUAGUUUAGUGGCGGACGGGUGAGUAACGCGUGGGUAACCUGCCCUAUACAGGGGGAUAACAGUUGGAAACGACUGUUAAUACCGCAUAAGCGCACAGGAGCGCGUGCUCCGGUGUGAAAAACUCCGGUGGUAUAGGAUGGACCCGCGUCUGAUUAGCUGGUUGGCGGGGUAACGGCCCACCAAGGCGACGAUCAGUAGCCGGCCUGAGAGGGUGAACGGCCACAUUGGGACUGAGACACGGCCCAAACUCCUACGGGAGGCAGCAGUGGGGAAUAUUGCACAAUGGGGGAAACCCUGAUGCAGCGACGCCGCGUGAGCGAAGAAGUAUCUCGGUAUGUAAAGCUCUAUCAGCAGGGAAGAAAAUGACGGUACCUGACGAAGAAGCCCCGGCUAACUACGUG